rnacentral:rRNA from 1 species
UCCCUACGGGGGGCAGCAGGCGCGAAAACUUUACAAUGCGGGAAACCGUGAUAAGGGGACACCGAGUGCCAGCAUCAUAUGCUGGCUGUCCGGAUGUGUAAAAUACAUCCGUUAGCAAGGGCCGGGCAAGACCGGUGCCAGCCGCCGCGGUAACACCGGCGGCCCGAGUGGUGAUCGUGAUUAUUGGGUCUAAAGGGUCCGUAGCCGGUUUGGUCAGUCCUCCGGGAAAUUUGAUAGCUUAACUAUUAGGCUUUCGGGGGAUACUGCCAGAC